UUGUUUAACAAGGACCUGUUCUCUCUCCCCUUCUAGACUGGGAGCCCCGCGGGGCUCUCCGGCUCUCCUUGAUAGGUGGUUCACAUCAUGCUUGGAGCUACAAAGAGCUGGAGGAAGACGUGGAGGAGGGACACCCGUGGUCCACUCAAGCCGGGCUUCUGGGAAUCCUGAGCAGGUUCUGCUGUGAAUUCACUCAGAAGUUACAUCUGUGUUUUGGCAGACGCAGGAAUGAGGCCGGCAGCAGUCUGCCACCUCCUGCCAGGAAGAAGAGAAAUGUCUGCAACUGUAAGUCACCGCAUAGGUUUCACUGCAGAGCCACCUUGGGGAACCCGGAGGCGGAGCCAGGAGCGGGGAGGGGUCUUGAGGGUCGAUGCGGGUUUCCCGGGGGGAACCAGAGUGGAAGGCAACUCCGGCUGGGUUCGGGGACCGCGGUGAGGACAGAAUGGCCUCUGCAAGGAUUUUCCUGGGAGGGUGCCCUCGGGGCGGGGACAACCUCCCUCAAGCACCACGACAGCGGGGACAACUGUGACGCCGCAUGGCGGGCUUGCGUGCCCAGAGCACCUCUGCGGCCCUGGAUCCUUCUCUGGAAAGCCCCACUCGGGGGAGCUACCCUGCACGUUGCUGGGGACCAAGGAACAGAGUCCCGGAGGACACGAAUCUCGGCACAGUAAAGGCAGCCGUAUACCUAGCCACUCAGAGACCAACUGCAAAACGGCUCGCGAGACGCCUAACGCAGCUCGACCCGAGGGCGCGCGAGGACGCCUCUCCGCCAGCAGGGCCCCUUCCUCCCCGUAGCAAAGUUCCGGCCCUCGGGGCGUGGCCUGGGAGCUACCGGCCAAUCCGUGUCACGAAGCUCUGUCAUGUGGUCGCGGUCUCCUGUGUUUCUUCUGCCUUCCGCCUCGCAGCCCCGCCCAACGCGGCGAAAGGCCUCUGGCGCCACGCCCGCGAGGAUCUUCUCGCGAGAGCAACCCAGACGUCCUGUCCUCCUGUUGGUCUGACGCCGGCUGGCACCGCGCCGUUGAACCGGGAGCCGUAAAGUGUGUUGGCUCCCGGACAAGUGCUGGAGGAACCCCCCCCCCCCCAGGACUGCAGGGCUCGUCGGGGCUGCCUCGGCUGCUUCUUGCCGCCUCCAGCCAGGCCCCGGGACCCCGAGGCCCUGAAUGUGCCCUUCCCGGGCCGGAAGCGGCGACCCGGUUAGCAGGCGUCGGUGGGCACCUGGGGUCGCAUGAUUUCCCUGCUUGUCACAGUCUUUGUCGCCAUUGCACCCACUGAAAAUCUGAGGCACGGGAGAACAUUCCAGCAGGAAAUCCGGGGUCGAUCUCCUCUGAGAAGAUGUAUGAGCGCAGCUCGUGUUUGCGCCUGGCACGGUGCUCAAGCUUCUCCCCGGAAGGAUUCACCGAUCCUUGAACCACCCUGCUGGGCGCGCUCUGCCCUUCCCAUUUUAGAGAGGAGGAAAUCGAAGUGCCAACAGGUUUGAGGAACUUGUCCAGAGUUGCACAAAGCCAGGCUUUGCAUCUCGGCAUCUCCAACCAGAACCCCCUCCACUGCUCCUUGAAUGACCAGCCUCACAACCCUGAGGUCUGGGGGAAGAGGGGGAAGGUUUGGCUAAAUGCCCCCACGCACUGGUCAGGGAACGGGCUGUACACAUGAUCCUCUGUCCCUGAGGCGCCAGCUGCUGAGCCCAACCUCAGCUGUCCAGGAGAAGACAGCCCGGCACCAGUACCCGCCCGAGCCCCUUGCGAGCUUCCAGCCUCCCAGACUGCACCUGGUUCCAGUCCUCACAGCCCAGUGCCAAGCUGGCGUGGACCCCAGCUGUAGUGACAGUGGCCUGGCUAUCACAGGGCCACUUCUUAACCACAGCACUGCCAGGAGUGGGGGGGGGGGGGGGGAGAUGGGCUUCCUCAGAUCCACUUCUCCGAGGGAACUCCUAAAGAGAUAUUAAAAUUGUCCCGUUUCUAUUCAUUCAUAUCAAAUGAACGUUGGUCUCAGGCCCAACAUGAUACCGCGAUGGAGCCAAACUAAUCUGCUUCAGCCACCUGCAGGAAGCAAAGCAAAGCCCUGUUCAGAAAACAAUGAGAAAGGGCCAGUAAGUCAAAAGAAGGAAAACAAGUCAAUAAAUCGACUGUGUAUGGCACUACAGAAGAGAUUAAGAACCCCAAGGUGACAUAAGCAUCAAACAUUAUUAAUCUGGUGAAGGGUGAUUCUAGUCACAGUGUUCUUUCCCCUCCCAGGUAGCAUGCAUCUCUACAGGAAUUAGGAAAAGGCAUCCCUUUCUCAAGAUACAUUAUUGCUGCCUGCCAGGAAAAGAAAAACUAGGAAGACCUCAGUGAGAAUGGUGUCCCUGAAGUUGCUCAGUGCAUGACAUGGACCACUGUACAGGAUGGUCAGGAGUGCAGAGCACACUUGGAGGCUGAGGCUGAGGCUGAGGCUUCCUGAACGCCAAAUACAGUUUUCUUUGUGAUCAGGAGCUGAGAUGAAAGACAGGUGUCAUAGAUGUCUGAGCAGCCCUUCUCUCUGUAGGCCUCAAAGAGAUAGGGUUUCUUUUUGUGACCACAGGGGCACUCAAAAUACAUAAUCACAGAGGGCUGUGCACCCUGGCUUGUUCGCGGCCACUGCUGGCCAUCACAUGACACGUAAUAUUGCAGGUACUGUGAAGAGAACCACAUAAUUUUUUAAGUUUGUGUUUUGUCUAAAUAAUCUGAGGCCUGUAUUUGAUGUUGAUUUGGAUCAACUGGUGCAAAUGCUAUGCAUUGUACUGUAGUUGUGUUGCACAGAGUUACUGAUUUUCAAAGCAGUGGGUUUUGAAACAAAAACAAUCCCCACGGGGGUGACGGGGAGUGGUUAUAGUCUGUAUGGCUAUUGACCCCCUAGCUUUCUCAUGAAACAAAAAUCUGUCAAGAGUGCUUUAUAUUUUCUCAGAUGAUUAAAGCAAACUACUAAAGGAGAUUUAGAAAGGGCCACCACUUCUGGAUGUAUCCUUAGAAGGAAAAGAUUAUUGUUAAAGCAGUUUUUCUAACAGUAAGCAAAGAAAGCAGCGAAGCCCGUAUAAAAUGAAGACAGCAGGAAGGGGACUAACAGAGAGACAAGGUCUCCUAGAGGCUCGUGCUGGUGUCGUCCGCGGACAGUGGGAAGCACACGCUGUAACUGGGCACACAGCGACAAGCGAGCGGCAGGGAGUAGAAAAAUAACUUUUUUAUUCAGCUAGCACUGGUCUGUUAGAGAGCAGAUUUCUUGUUUGAGGACACAAUUGUGUUACGCUGUACCAUAGAUUAGUAUUUUCCAAAAUUGAUGACUGUAAUACUUCUGUCCCCACAUGUUCUGCCCAGAUGUUGCCAUACUCCCUUUGGGGGCCAGUGUCUCUGCCCGCCUCCCCUUGAAACUCAGGGGCCUUUGUGCAUAGAAUUUGAUGUCUAGAAUGCAUCAGAAGCAACACUGCCCGCUCCCGAGACCAGGCCACAAAGGCAGUAGGAGCGCGACCAGUGUGCUCAGUGUUCUGGAGUUUGUCCUCUGUCCAUGACGUCCCCCACACAUCUCUUUUCUCUCUCUCCAUAUCUCUCCCUUCCCCUUCUCUGCCUCUCUCUCUCUCUCUCUCUCUCUCUCUCUCUCUCUACCUUGAAACCCAACCACCUUGCUGUGAGGUGCCCAGACCACAGCCUGGCCCUCACGGAAGUCCAGGGGCUCUUGGAGGAGGCAAGGUUCCGGAAGAAACAUGGGAAUAAAUUGCAGGACAGAGAUAAAGGCAACUAGAAGUCUGGGGAGAAAAUGUUCUCCAAGAAAGGGAAUGAAAUCUCAGUAGCUGAGUUGGCUCUGCAGGGAACAAUUACUCCACUGUCAUAUACUGGGAGUAUACCGGGGGAGGCGAGGGCGGGCAGGUGGGGUAAAUAGAAAUUCUAUUCUCGUAAUAGAAAAAUCAGCAGAUCGCGUGAAAAAGAGGGGUCUCCGGAAAUAACAGUUUAAGCUCAUAUGGAGGGUGUGGUUGGCAGAGUCAUGGUCUCCAGGUCCUAAUCCCUGGAACCUUACAUGACAAAAGGGACUUAGCAGAUGUGAUGAAGUCAAGGACUUUGAGGUGGGGAGAUGACCCCAGAUCAUUCAGUGAACCCAGUGUAAUCAGAGGGUCUUUGAAAGAUAUGGAAAGGCAGCAGGAGGGUCAGAGAAGAAGAGCCAUGGAACCAGACAUCCAAGGGAUGUGCCUGAUGGAGGAAGGGCCACAGGCCAUGGAACACAGGUGGCCUCUAGAAGCUGGAAAAGUAAGGACACAGAUUCUCUCCUGGAGCUUCUGGAAGGAACUACCCCCACCAACACCUUGACAUUAGCCCAGUGACACCCAUUUCAGACUUCUGACCUCCAGAACUAUAGGACAAUAAAGCUGUGUUGUUUUAAGCCACUAA